GCUCCCAGUGCCCCAACCAAUGUAGAAGUGAUUGCCGUGUCUUCAUCACAACUAAUCAUAACUUGGAAACCACCUUUGGAUCCCAACGGCGUUAUAACUGGUUAUAAUAUUACAUGGACGAUGACUAGAACCGACUUGGAUACAGAACCUAUGAACAAUGUGUUUAAUAGCAUUCCGUCUCUUUUGAGCGCAUCUGAAAGAAUGCAUUCGAUAGACAAUUUAGGUAAGUAUUGCAGAUUUUGAUGUAAAUACAGCGGUAUUCCAUAUUGUUUGUAAUAUGCCUGUAUAAACACAAUGUAUAACGAUCAGUUUUUGAAGU